rnacentral:lncRNA from 1 species
UCGGAUGUAGAAAUGGACGGUGAAAAAUUCGAAACACCAAGUCAGGCAGUUGAAACCGUUAAAGUGGAGGACGCCAUUCUUGUUGAGAAAGAGAAGAAGCUGUCCAUUUCUUCUUACAAACAGACCAUAGAAGUGGUGAAGAACGGAGAAGCCCUAGGCUGGGGAAAGAUCAUAGACAUUGUGGUGAAAGCAGAUAUGUUCGGGGUUG